rnacentral:rRNA from 1 species
GAGUUUGAUCGGCUCAGGAUGAACGCUGGCGGCGUGCCUAAUACAUGCAAGUCGUACGAACAGCGGAAAGUGCUUGCACUUUCCAAGUAAGUGGCGAACGGGUGAGUAACACGUGAAUAACCUACCUCAAAGUCUGGGGAUAACCGAUUGGAAACAGUGACUAAUACCGGAUAAAACCUAGUAGCACAUGCUACAAGGUUAAAAGCUGCGUUUGCAGCGCUUUAAGAUGGAUUCGCGGUGCAUUAGUAG